AUCCAAAAAACGGUUAUAAGUUCUAAAGAAAUUAACGGAUCCUUAUGAAACUUCGUAUUUAUGUUCUUUGCGAUAAAUAAUAUUAUUUUAUUGCAGAUUUAUACAAAUUUAGAAAAAAAAACAAUAAUUAUUAUGGAAUGACCCAAAAAAAAAAAAUUCGAGAAAGAGUUAUAACUUCCACACGAAUUACCAAAUCGUCGUGAAACUUGGUAAUUAUGUUCUUUGCAAUAUGUGACAUCCUUUGAAGGUGAAAAAAUUCAAAUUUUGGAAAAAAAGUGUAAAAUUAUUACGGAAUGACCCCAAAAAAAUCCAAAAAAACGUUUAUAACUUCCAAACAAAUUACCGUAUCGUUAUGAAACUUAGUAAUAAUUAUCAUUGCAAUUAAUAACACUAUUUAAAAGCAAAAAAAUACAAAUUACAGAAAAAACUGUAAAAUUAUUACGGAAUGUCCCCAAAAAAAUCCAAAAAGGGUUAUAACUUCUAAAAAAAUUAACGAAUCCUUAUAAAACUUUGUAAUUAUGAUCUUUACGUUUCAUAACGAUACGAUAAUUUGAUUAAAAGUUAUAUCUGAUUUUUGGAUUUUUUUGGGGUCAUUCCAUAAUAAUUAUGCGCUUUUUCCAAAAUCUAUAGUUUUUCGACGUUCAAGGAUUUCGUUCAUCGCAAAGAUAAGAAUUACAAAGUUUCAUAAGGAAGCGUUAAUUUUUGUUGAAGUUAUAAUCAUUGUUUGAAUUUUUUUUUUUUUGGGACAUUCCAUAAUAAUUUUUCUAAUUUUUGUAUAAAUUUGUAUUUUUUUUUUGCCUUUAGAAGAUGUCAUUCAUUGCAAAGAACAUAAUUAGCUAGUUUCAUGACGAUUCGUUAAUUUGAUUUGAAGUUAUAGCCGUUUUUUGAAUUUUUUUGGGGUCGUUCCGUAACAAAUUUACACUUUUUUUUUUUUUUUACUAAAUUUGUAUGAAUCUGUAAUAAAUGAAUGUAAUUUAUUGCAAGUAACAUAAUUACCAAGUUUCAUGAUGAUCCGUUAAUUAGUCUGGAAAUUUCCACUUUUUUUUUUGGGGGGUCAUUCCAUAAUAAUUGUCCGUUAUUUUUCCUAAAUUUGUAAAAAUUUGCAAUAAAAUAAUGUCAUUUACCGCAAAGGAUAUAAAUACCAAGUUUCAUAAGGAUCCAUUAAUUUCUUUAGAAGUUAUAAUUGUUUUUUGAAAUUUUUUUUAAGGGUCAUUCCAUAAAAAUUAUACAUUUUUUUCCUAAAUUUGUAUAAAUCUGCAAUAAAAAAAAAUGCCAUCUAUCGUAAAGAAGAUAAUUUUUAAGUUUCACAAGGAUUUGUUAAUUUCUUUAAAAGUUAUAACCGUUUUUUUUUUUUGGUCAUUCCAUAAUAAUUUCUCUCCUUUUUUCCAAAAAUUUGUAAUUUUCCGCCCUUAAAGGAUGUCAUUCAUUCUAAAGUAAUCUGUGAUGUUAAUUAUCGAUUAUAUAAAAAUUCUGUAAUAUAAAAAAUCGGUUUAAUGGAAAAUUGUGUUAAAAAUUAAUUCCUACAAAUGAAAAUUCAUCUAAAAGAAUAAAAUAAAAAAAUUUGUCUGCAAUGAAAUUCUACCUAAUAAAAAUUCACUAAAAUGGCUAUUAUGUUAAAUGAAAAUUCUAGUAAAUUAAAAUACUGUGAAAAUUAAUUUUUGGUUAUAUAAAAAAAUUCUCUAAUAAAGUAAUUCGGCUCGCAAUGAAAAUUAUAAUUCUAUUAAAUGAAAAUUCUAACGAUUUUUAAAACUUAUUUAUGCCUUUCAUUUUUUUUUUUGCAACACAUUUUGAAAAUCAAAUUUUGUAAAAUUCAACCAUUUAGAAAUUAUUAUUGUAUAUAGAUAUAAUUAAGAUUAUAGAAACUUGAAAAUUUGAACAAUUGAAAUUUUUGUAGAUGUGAAAAAAAAGAUACGAGGCAUAAUUAUAUAAAUACAACACAUGGACCAUCUGAUAUUGGAAACUUAAAUGCAAUUUGUGCGAGAAACUUUGUUUGUUACACUGUAUUAAUUGUAAUCCCAUUGUCAUUAAUUGUCAAUUGGAUUGCCAUUAGGGCAAUGAAUGUAAAAACUUAUCUCCCGCUGUUAGAACACAAAAAUAACCGCCAUUAUUCUCAUUAAAAAUUUGCCAAGUUUGUAAGUGAAACCGAGCAAAUUUUUAAGGGGAUUAAAUUUUGACUGGACACAGAGAGAAACUAUUUCUGUAAUGGAUAUCCUUCCUACCUAGCAGCUAAUACAAAAGGAAAUCUCAAGAACAUUUUUGACAAAAUUUCCUUUUUUUUUUUCCUUUUGCGGCCAUUUAAAAGAAUACAUAAUAUUAUAAACGGUUCAUAAAUCUGACCUGAGGAGACGCUUCUCUCUUCCAUAGCCAUCUCUUGGGCUUAUCUCUCCUUCAUUCUCUCUCUCUCUCCCUCGUUUUUCAAAAAAAAAAAGAAAAAGUUCUCCAUCAAAAAUUUAAUUUUGACUAUUUUUAUAUCCUGAAAACAGAAAUUAUGUUUUAAUUAAAAAAAUUUAGGGAGAAAGGAUUUAUUUGGAAAUAAAUAACAAUAUCAACAUAUUUUUAGAGCAUUGUUCACUUUAUGAUCAUCAAUAUCACAUUAUACACAACAAAGUUUUAUUUAAAGAGAAAAUAGUCAUGUGAUAAAUAAAUUUUACGCUCAAGAAAAAUCAUUGUUAAAUUAUCAAUUUUAAUUUUUUUUUCUUUUUUCUCCCAAAAUCGAGUGUUGUCUUUUCACGUCAAUCUUUUUAUUUUUUAUCCAGUUAUUUAUUUAUUUAUUUAUUUUUUUUUUUGAAUCAAAUUUUUAAUCAAUUUCAAAUGAAUUAAUUAAUAGAACAAAUUUUAAUUUCUAGAUUAAUUUUAAUUGGAUUUUAAAUCUUUAUUUUAAAUCAAUUAUAAAUUAAAAUAGAUUGAAAAUACUGAAAAACAUUGAAAAUAUUUUAUAGUGAGAUUUUGAAAAAUUUUGUUUUUUCCUAUAACAACUUUUUUACUAAAGAAGUUCACAUUCCAGUUUUACUAGUGACAAUAAAACUAAUUUUUGUAGAUUUCUACUGUUUUUCAUUUUUUUUUUUUUUUUUUUUUUUGAACCGUUACACAUUUAUACUACUUUUUUUUAAUACAACUGCAAAUGUUGACAAAAUUGUAGAAAUGAAAAAGUAAAAAAUUUUGUUAACAAAAAAUUUCCAAAAAUUUCUUUUUGAAAAUUACUUCUAUAUAGAAAUGAUUUUUAUCUCAGAAAAAAGAUUUUUGAUUAUUUACAAUCACAUUUGAAUUAUGUAAAUUAUUAUACUCAAUUUUUAAAAAUUUGGUAUGAAAAUCGAUGGAUUUUAAAUUAAAAAAAAAAAAAGAGACAGAAAAAUUCAUUUAUCGACACCACAUGAGAAUGGUAAUUUUUUUUUUUUUUCUAAAACAUUUUUCACAAAACCCACAAACUAUUAUAAUUAUUAUUUUUUUUUCUUCACUGUACAACGAAAAUAUUUUCAAAACAUUUUUGUUUUUUCAUUUUAAUUUUUUAAUUUUUUAAUUUUUUUUUUUUUGCAAAUUCUGGGGCAUUUUUUUUUCUCUCUCUCUCUCUCUGUGGAAUUUCUUUUGCAUCUUGACUCGACUAAAAAGUUUUGUGUUGGAAAAAUUCUGUGAAAGGAGGGGAAAUUUUUUUUUUUUUUCCUUUUCUCUGUAGAAAAUUAUCACGGAAUGCGCACUAUAAAAAAAAAAAAUAGUGAACUCACACUCAAAGAAAAAAAAAAAAAAAAGAGGCGCAUGAUUAGCCUAUAAAAAUUAUUAAUUAGAAUUUUUAUUUAGAUGAAUUUUAUUAGAAAUAAAAUUAUUUUUUAGAUGAAUUUUCAAUUUUUCGAAAUCAGUAAUUGACAGAAUUUAAUUUUUUUAAGAAUUUUUAUUCAAUGAAAUUUUUAGCCAGCGAAUUUUUGUUUGGCAGAAAGAAAUAUUCCUUUAAUAAUUAUGUUUUUUGCUAUAAAUAACUUUAAAGUCGAAAAAAUUCAAAUUUUUGAAAAAAAAGUGUAAAAUUAUUACGGAAUGACCCAAAAAAAUUCAAAAAAACGAUUAUAACUUCUAAAAAAAUUAAUGGAUCGUUACUUUUCUUGGCAGUUAUGUUCUUUAAUGUAAAUUAUAUACUUUAAAGGCGAAAAAACCAAAUUUUUGGACAAUAAGUGUAAAAUUAUUACGGAAUGACCCCAAAAAAAUCCAAAAAAUGAUUAUAACUUCUACAGAAAUUAACGAAUCCUUAUAAAACUUGGUAGUUAUGUUCUCUGCUAAGAAUAACACCAAUUAUAAGCGAAAAAAAAGAAAUUUAGGAAAAAAAGCGUAAAAUUAUUACGGAAUGACCCCAAAAAAGUCCAAAAAACAGUUAUAACUCCGAAAGAAAUUAACAGAUUUUUAUGAAAUUUGGUAGUUAUAUUCUUUAAUGUAAAUAACAUAAGUUAAAGGUGAAAAAAAAUUUAGAAAACAAAAUGUUUAAUUAUUAUGGGAUGACCCAAAAAAAAAUCCAAAAAACGGUUACAACUUCUAAAAUAAUUAACGAAAUAUUUAAAAACUUGGAAAUUAUAUUCUUUGCUAUGAAUUGCACUCUUUAGAGGUAUAAAAAUAAAAAUUUCGAAUUAAAAGCAUAAAAUUAUUACGGAAUGACCCCAAAAAAAUGCAAAAAAACGAUUAUAACUUCUAAACAUAUUAAUGCAUCAUUAUGAAACUUGGUAGUUAUGUUUUUUAGUGUAAAUGACAUACUUUAAAGGCGAAAAAACAAAUUUAGAAAACAAAAUGUUUAAUUGUUAUAGAAUGACAUCAAAAAAAAAAAAAAAAAAAAAAAACCAAAAAACGGUUCUAACUUCUAAACUAAUUAACGGAUCAUUAUCAAAAUUGAUAAUUAUCUUCUUUUGCGACAAAUGAGAUUUUUUUAUUCGCAGAUUUGUAAAAAUUUAGGAAAAAAAUAUUUAAUUGUUACGGAAUGACCCCAAAAAAGUCCAAAAAAACAGUUUUAAAUUCUAAACAAAUUAUCGAACCGUCAUGAAACUUGGUAAUUAUAUUUUUUGCAAUAAAUUACAUCCUUUAAAGGUGGAAAAAAUACAAAUUUUGGAAAAAAAGCAUAAAAUUAUUACGGAAUGACCCCAAAAAAAAUCCAAAAAACGGUUAUAACUCCGAAAGAAAUUAAUGGAUCUUUAUAAAUCUUAGUAAUUAUGAUCUUUACGAUAAAUAACAUUCUUUCUGCUAGAAAGAAACAAAUUGAGGAAAUAGAGUGUAACAUUUUUAUAGAAUGACCCCAAAAAAAAAUCCAAAAAACAGUUAUAAUUUCCAAACAAAUUACCGAAUCGUCAUGAAACUUGGUAAUUAUAUUCUUUGCAAUAUGUGACAUCCUUUGAAGGGGAAAAAAUACAAAUUUUGGAAAAAAACCUCAUAAUUAUUAUAGAAUGAAAAUUCGAACAAAUAAAAAUUUCUUUUUAUUCUUUUUUUUUUGUUGACAUUCCUUAAUAAUUAUACGCUUUUUUCCCUAAAUUUGUGUUUUUUCACCUUUAAAGGAGGUCAUUCAUUGCAAAGAAUAUAAUUACCAAGUUUCAUGACGAUCCGUUAAUUUGAUUUGAAGUUAUAGCUUUUUUUUUUUUUUUUUGAAUUUUUUUGGGGUCAUUCCAUAACAAUGAUACAUUUUUUUUCCUAAAUUAGUAUAAAUCUGUAAUAAAAGAAUGUCAUUUUUCACACAGAAAAUAAUUAUAAAGUUUCUUAAAUUUUUUUUAAUUCCUUUAAAAGUUAUAACCGUUUUUUGUAUUUUUUUGGGGUCGUUCCGUAAUAAAUUUACACUUUUUUUUCCUAAAUUUGAAUUUUCUCGUCUUUAAAAAAUGUUAUUCAUCGCAAAGAAAAUAAUUACCAAGUUUCAUAACGCUUUAGUUAUUUAUUUAGAAGUUACAACUGUUUUUUUUGGAUUUUUUUGGGGUCAUUCUACAAUAAUUUUCCAUUUUUUUAAAAAAAAAAAUAUUUUUUUCCCCCUUUAAAGGAUUUUAUUCAUUGUAUUGUAAUCAGUGAUGUUGAUUUUCGAUUAUAUAAAAAUUUUUUAAAUUGAAAAUUCAAUGUAAUGGAAAUUCUAUCAAAAUGCUAAUUCGAAAAUUGUUAAUUCCGUCUAAAAAAUAAUUAUUUCUAAUGUAAAAUUCUUUAAAAUGAAAAUUCUACUUAAUAAUUUUUAUCUGAUAAUCAUGAACCCCCCUUAAAAAAAAUUAUGUUCUAAAAAACAGAAUUAAAUUUUAUCAAUCCAUUCAUUCAAUAUGAAAUCCUUGUGGAUUAAUACAAAAUUCAACAAUCAAGUGCUUUCAGGUGUAACAAACAAUUUUUUUUUUUUUUAUUCUUUUUUUUCAAAACAUUGAUAUUUGUCGCCUUCUAUAUUUUGAAUAUCAAUUUUUCUUUUUUUAUAAAAUACAAAUAUAAAAAUUAGUUAUAUAUUAAAAAAAAAAAAAAAUAGAAUAAUUUUUAAAUGCAAAAAAUUCUAUUAUUUCUUUAUUUUAAAAUAUGUUAGAAAAAAUUCAGUAAUAAAAAAUUAAAGUAUAUUAUUAAAAAAAAGCUGAAACGAAGGAAAAAAUGAAAUAAAACUAUUCAAUUCGUAGACAUGCGACAAAAAAAAGUUGUUUUCCGCAUUUUCGACAUUUACACAGCGCCACAUCUUAACAGUAAAAAUUCGAGAGCGCGUUAAGAUUGUUUGUCUCGCUUUACACACUUAGUUUUUAAUAAAACGGAUUUACCUUUUUAUUUUUUUUUUUAAAUUGCAAAACUCAAUAAAUAAUUAAAGGACAAUGUAAUCAUGGCGGAAAAAAUGUUUCUGGCAAUUUUUCACAAUAAUAAAUGCGAUAACAAAUAAAUUGUAAAAAUUGCCAAUAAUAAAGUUUGACUAGAAAUUUCAUCAAGAACGUGCAAUUAUUAUUAUUAUUAUUAUUAUAAUUAUUAUUAUUAUUAUAAUUAUUAUUAUUAUUAUUCACUCCAGUGAAAUUAAUGUCAAUUAAACGAUUUUCAUUUCUUAAAUGAUAAUAAUAAUUAAGUGAUAAAAAAUCUUUAAACGUUGUUAAAUCUUUAAUUAUAAUAAAUUGAGUCAAGGACACAAAUUUUUCAGUCGAAUAUGAAUUGUGAAUAUUUUCAUUAUUAUUCACAUUCAUUAAAUAAUGACACAUACCUGGUAAAUUGUUAUUUUCCAUUAUUAAAUGAUUUUCUUCAUUAUUAAUUGUUGGAUUUUCCUCAAUGUUAUUUGAACAAUUCAAUAAGCCACGUAAUUUUAUUAAUUUAUGUGCCAUUGAUAAUGAAUUACAUCUGAUAUCAUUGAAUUGUUUCAUUAUAUAGGAGGUGAUAAAUUUUUCAUUUCGAAUGGAAAAAGGACGCGUCAAGUACGAAUUAUGAUGAUGAUGAUGAUGAUGAUAA